rnacentral:lncRNA from 1 species
GAGUUGUGUCUGCUGCUUCUUGGCAGUCCCCAAAGUACGUCCUCUCAGCAGACGGAGCUGCUGGCAAAUGAAACAGGGGAUUCCACUUGAAGUGCAGAAAGCCUCGAAGGGAUCCAAAGCCCUCGGUGGCAGGGAGUUAAAAGUACAUGGUAGUCGGAAAGGGAGACCCGAGCGUGCGUUAAAGCGCUGAUUGGCCUUUCUUUUCACGGUGUGCGCCUCUGCGGCCUGGGGUGGAGAGAGGCCGAGUGUCUUUCUCUUCAUUGUUGCCCUGGUUCCUGUCUCACUUGGGCCAAGGAGUUCUCGGGCUUCCUCGUGGUCGCGCAGCCCAGGUCACCGGGGCGCGGCUUGGAAGGAAGGGGCCGCCAAGCUGGGACUUAGAGAGUCUGAGGUUUUCGGGAAGGGUCCUAUCAGUGACUGAGGGGAGCAAAAGUAACCGGAAAGAAAGGAAAGAAGAAACGGUCAGAGCCUGCUCCGCGCGCACUUCAAAGCCGAGGCGCCCGCGUGGGGGAUGCACGGGCCCAGCCGCCAGCCC